rnacentral:rRNA from 1 species
UAAAUAUAACCAUGAGACCGAUAGUAAACAAGUACCGUGAGGGAAAGUUGAAAAGAACUCUGAAUAGAGAGUUAAAUAGUACGUGAAACUGCUUAGAGGUUAAGCCCGAUGAACCUGAAUAUCCAAUAUAGAAAAUUCAUCAUUAUGAUUUAAAUAUUUGCAAUAUUUUAAUAAUGGUGUGCAUUUUUUCUAUAGAGGACAUUGUAAUCUAUUAACAUAAAAUUUAUCAUAAGAUCAAUUUGCGUAAGUUUAUUCAAAUUAUUUUGCUUGCAAUUUAACAUAGAAUAAAUGCUUUUGAUUUGAUAAAGUGUUGAUAGAUUUAUUAUAUAUAGUGCUUAAAUAUUUAUAUUUUAUAGUAGCAUAUUAAUUUUUAAUUUUUGUGUUUACUAUAUGCACUUAUAUGAUUAACAAUGCGAAAGAUUCAGGAUACCUUCGGGACCCGUC